GUGCUCGCUUUGGCAGCACAUAUACUAAAAUUGGAAUGCUACAGAGAAGAUUAGCAUGGCCCCUGCGCAAGGAUGACUAAAAAAGAAAACAAAAAAUAAAAUGAUAU